GUGCAGAGUGCGCACUCAGUCACGCAGGAAAUGCCCUUCUCUGGAUUCAGGGGCAGCAGGGAGUAUUGCUGACAGCUCAGCGCUGGUCCGGUCAAGCUCAGAGCCCCAGAAUUGAGGCCCUGAAAUAACAAUCGACCCCUCUCCGAGGGAAAACUAGCCCCGAGGUGCGUAGUUCCCUGGGACUGGGGCUUGCUUUGUGUCUGGUGAAGAGAUAAGGACACACUGCUACACUCAGGAUGAGAAAGGGACAGGAUGGAAAAGCAAGCACGAGCAGCCUCACGUCCUCCAUGUGUUGGCUAAGUGGGGCAGGGAUAUUCGAAGACCUGAUCUCUUCUCCCCGACCCCCUGUUCUGUGCCUCGAUACUUGAGCCCUAAACUUCUGAGCAGGAACUAAAGAUGGUCCAUAGUUCCUAAAGAUCCAAGGUCAGAAGGUCAGAGAUACGGCUGAGGACAUUAGAAAAGAGCCAAAGAAACCAGGUACAAGAAGAAAUUUUCCACGACUCAGGUGUUUAUAGCUCCCCAACACCCCAGAGCUGAGAAGCCUGCUCCUCUCUUGGCCCACCUUGUGCGCAGUUUCUGCAAACUGCUGGGCGCUGUUCUUCAGGUCUUCUGUCUUCUCCUCU
rnacentral:lncRNA from 1 species